rnacentral:tRNA from 1 species
AAGGAAUUAGUUAAAUUAUAACAUUAGAAUGUCAAACUAAAAUUACUAAAUUACUAGUAUUCUUUA